CCCGCUGAACUUAAGCAUAUCAAUAAGCGGAGGAAAAGAAACUAACAAGGAUUCCCUUAGUAACUGCGAGUGAAGAGGGAAGAGCUCAAAUUUAAAAUCUGGCAUCUGUCCGAGUUGUAACUUAUAGAAGUGUUAUAUGCGCUGAACUGUGCGUGAGUCUCGUGGAAAAGAGGAUCAUAGAGGGUGACAAUCGAGUCUUUCGCACAGACUCGAAUGGCUUGGUGAUGCACCCUCAAAGAGUUGAGAUGUUCGGUAUAGCACUUCUAAAUGGGUAGUAAUUUCCAUCGAACGCGAAAUAUGGGCGAGAGACGGAUAGCGCUCAAGAAAGAGUGAGGGAAAGAUGAAAAGUACUCUGAAUAGAGAGCUAAACAAUUCAGUAGAUUGGUGAAAGGGCACCACUUGAAGUCUAGACAUGUCCGUCAGAAAUCUAGAUGCCUUCACGUUAUGGUGCAUCGUCUGGCAUAGAGGGUGUCAGCAUCAGUCUUGCUCAUGGGACUAUUAUAAGAGGUAAAUUCGCCUCGUGGAGAUUCGGGAUAGAUGUAGCGUCAUACACAAUCAUUGCGUACGGAGGCACGCAGUACGUUAACGUCUUUAGGAUGCUGGCAUAAUGGCUUUAAUUGACCCGUCUUGAAACACGG
rnacentral:rRNA from 1 species